rnacentral:rRNA from 1 species
GACGAACGCUGGCGGCGUGCUUAACACAUGCAAGUCGAACGAAAAGGUCCUGCUUUUUUGCGGUCGUCUACUGGCCAACGGGUGAGUAACCCGUGAGUACCCUGCCCCUGACUUUGAGAUAACUUCAUGAAACUGGGGCUCAUACCGCCUAGGAGCUCCUGCUGCAUGGUGGGGGUUGGUAAGUUUAGCCGGUUGGGGAUGGACUGGCGUCUUAUCAGCUUGUUGGUUGGGUAGUGGAUUACCAAGGCUUUGACGGGUAGCCGGCCUGAGAGGGUGACAGGACACAUUGGGAUUGAGCUACGGCCCGGACUAGUACGGGAGGGAGGGGAGGAGAAUAGUGCACAAUGGGCGGAAGGAUGGUGCAGCAAAGCCGCGCGGGGGGAGAGGGGAUUGGGGUUGUAUUGUGAUUUCGCUUGUGCAGAGGCGUGAGUGACGGUAAUGGGUAAAGAAGCACCGGCUAACUACGUG